UGUCUCAAAGAUUAAGCCAUGCAUGUCUAAGUAUAAGCAAUUAUACAGCGAAACUGCGAAUGGCUCAUUAUAUAAGUUAUCGUUUAUUUGAUAGUACCUUACUACUUGGAUAACCGUGGUAAUUCUAGAGCUAAUACAUGCUAAAAAUCCCGACUUCGGAAGGGAUGUAUUUAUUAGAUUAAAAACCAAUGCCCUCUGGGCUCCUUGGUGAUUCAUAAUAACUUUUCGAAUCGCAUGGCCUUGCGCCGGCGAUGGUUCAUUCAAAUUUCUUCCCUAUCAACUUUCGAUGUUUGGGUAUUGGCCAAACAUGGUCGCAACGGGUAACGGAGGGUUAGGGCUCGACCCCGGAGAAGGAGCCUGAGAAACGGCUACUACAUCCAAGGAAGGCAGCAGGCGCGCAAAUUACCCAAUCCCGAUUCGGGGAGGUAGUGACAAUAAAUACUGAUACAGGGCUCUUUUGGGUCUUGUAAUUGGAAUGAGUACAAUUUAAAUCCCUUAACGAGGAACAAUUGGAGGGCAAGUCUGGUGCCAGCAGCC
rnacentral:rRNA from 2 species